GGACUACUAGGGUAUCUAAUCCUGUUCGCUCCCCACGCUUUCGCUCCUCAGCGUCAGUACAGGCCCAGAGAACCGCCUUCGCCACCGGUGUUCCUCCCGAUAUCUGCGCAUUUCACCGCUACACCGGGAAUUCCGUUCUCCCCUACCUGCCUCCAGCCUGCCCGUAUCGAACGCAGACCCACAGUUGAGCCAUGGGCUUUCACGUCCGACGCGACAGGCCACCUACGAGCUCUUUACGCCCAAUAAUUCCGGACAACGCUUGCGCCCUACGUAUUACCGCGGCUGCUGGCAC
rnacentral:rRNA from 1 species